rnacentral:rRNA from 1 species
UAAGGCUGAGACACGACGUCGAGCACCUACGGGUGUGAAGUCAUUGAUGCCAUGCUUCCAGGAAAAGCCUCUAAGCUUCAGAUUGUAAGGAAUCGUACCCCAAACCGACACAGGUGGUCGGGUAGAGAAUACCAAGGCGCUUGAGAGAACUCGGGUGAAGGAACUAGGCAAAAUGGUACCGUAACUUCGGGAGAAGGUACGCUCUUGAUGGUGAAGUCCCUUGCGGAUGGAGCUGACGAGAGUCGCAGAUACCAGGUGGCUGCAACUGUUUAUUAAAAACACAGCACUGUGCAAAAUCGUAAGAUGACGUAUACGGUGUGACGCCUGCCCGGUGCCGGAAGGUUAAUUGAUGGGGUUAGACUUCGGUCGAAGCUCUUGAUCGAAGCCCCGGUAAACGGCGGCCGUAACUAUAACGGUCCUAAGGUAGCGAAAUUCCUUGUCGGGUAAGUUCCGACCUGCACGAAUGGCGUAAUGAUGGCCACGCUGUCUCCACCCGAGACUCAGUGAAAUUGAAAUCGCUGUGAAGAUGCAGUGUACCCGCGGCUAGACGGAAAGACCCCGUGAACCUUUACUACAGCUUGGCACUGAACAUUGACCCUACAUGUGUAGGAUAGGUGGGAGGCUUUGAAGCACGUACGCCAGUAUGUGUGGAGCCGUCCUUGAAAUACCACCCUUGUAGUGUUGAUGUUCUAACGUCGACCCCUGAUCGGGGUUGCGGACAGUGCCUGGUGGGUAGUUUGACUGGGGCGGUCUCCUCCCAAAGAGUAACGGAGGAGCACGAAGGUGGGCUAAUCACGGUUGGACAUCGUGAGGUUAGUGCAAUGGCAUAAGCCCGCUUGACUGCGAGAAUGACAAUUCGAGCAGGUGCGAAAGCAGGUCAUAGUGAUCCGGUGGUUCUGAAUGGAAGGGCCAUCGCUCAACGGAUAAAAGGUACUCCGGGGAUAACAGGCUGAUACCGCCCAAGAGUUCAUAUCGACGGCGGUGUUUGGCACCUCGAUGUCGGCUCAUCACAUCCUGGGGCUGAAGUCGGUCCCAAGGGUAUGGCUGUUCGCCAUUUAAAGUGGUACGCGAGCUGGGUUUAGAACGUCGUGAGACAGUUCGGUCCCUAUCUGCCGUGGGCGUUGGAAGAUUGAAGGGGGCUGCUCCUAGUACGAGAGGACCGGAGUGGACGAACCUCUGGUGUUCGGGUUGUGUCGCCAGACGCAUUGCCCGGUAGCUAAGUUCGGAAUCGAUAACCGCUGAAAGCAUCUAAGCGGGAAGCGAGCCCUGAGAUGAGUCUUCCCUGAUACUUUAAGUAUCCUAAAGGGUUGUCGGAGACUACGACGUUGAUAGGUCAGGUGUGUAAGUGCUGUGAGGCAUUGAGCUAACUGAUACUAAUUGCCCGUGAGGCUUAACCAUACAACACCCAAGGGGUUU